rnacentral:lncRNA from 12 species
UGUCUUAUUAACCCCUCAUCUUCUUCUUCUUAUUUUUUUAAAUCUCGGUUACCAUUACCACAGAUCUCUAAUUGAUCUACGAGUCCCUGGAAAAUCUCAAGCUCCAACUGUUUGAGUAAUGAUCCAAUAAAGUCUAAUAAGCCAUCCCCAUAGACGAUCAAGUUCAAACAAUGACAUACACGGAUCACAAGCUCCCUGAGGGCAGGACCUGUGACUGUCUUGUUCAUCUGGCACAGUGUGCACGCUCUGAAAAUGACAUGCCAGUGACAUGCCAUGACUCUGAAAUGACGUCCUCCCUGGGUCUGGAUAUCACUGUUCAGCUUCACCCAGGGAAGAUGACCUUGUUGUAGAGGAUCUAGUGCUCUCCAUUUGGUGCUUAUUCAAGAGGUGAAUGAAAAAGGAAUUAUUUUAAAAAGUGAGCAAGACAUUCGUGGUCCUUCAAUUAAUAUGUGUGACAGCUCUAUGAAAGGAUAAGCCUCAGAGUGCCCAGUCUCUCUAAUUCAUGCUCAGGGGAUUUGUUCUUAUAAGUCCUAUUAAGUAGGUAAAUCCCCUGCAUAUCUGAGAAAGCACAGACUAACAAACAUCAAUUUACUUGUUGCUGGUUGCAUGCUAUAUCCUUGGCAGGUACCUAUGUAAUUCUUCUGGAAAAUAUACUUGUU